UACGGGGGGGGUAAGCGUUGUUCGGAAUUACUGGGCGUAAAGGGCUCGUAGGCGGCCAACUAAGUCAUACGUGAAAUCCCUCAGCUUAACUGGGGAACUGCGUGUGAUACUGGAUGGCUUGGAUUUGGGAGAGGGAUGCGGAAUUCCAGGUGUAGCGGUGAAAUGCGUAGAUAUCUGGAGGAACACCGGUGGCGAAGGCGGCAUCCUGGACCAAUAUUGACGCUGAGGAGUGAAAGCCAGGGGAGCAAACGGG
rnacentral:rRNA from 1 species